AAAAAGUUAGUUUAAUUUAAAACAUUAACUUGUCAAGUUAAAAUUAUUUGAUAAAUACUUUUUA
rnacentral:tRNA from 1 species